rnacentral:rRNA from 1 species
UAUUGGUCAAUGGGCGGGAGCCUGAACCAGCCAAGUCGCGUGAGGGAUUAAGGCCCUACGGGUCGUAAACCUCUUUUGCCGGGGAGCAGGGCGGCGGACGUGUCCGCCGUUUGUGAGUACCCGGAGAAAAAGUAUCGGCUAGCUCAGUGCCAGCAGCCGCGGUAAUACGGAGGAUGAGAGCGUUAUGCGGAUUUAUUGGGUUUAAAGGGUGCGUAGGCGGGCUUUUAAGUCAGCGGUAAAAAUACGGGGCUCAACCCCGUCCGGCCGUUGAAACUGGGGGCCUUGAGUGGGCGAGAAGAAGGCGGAAUGCGUGGUGUAGCGGUGAAAUGCAUAGAUAUCACGCAGAACCCCGAUUGCGAAGGCAGCCUUCCGGCGCCCUACUGACGCUGAGGCACGAAAGUGCGGGGGUCGAACAGG